rnacentral:rRNA from 1 species
UACGUAGGGUGCAAGCGUUGUCCGGAAUUAUUGGGCGUAAAGAGCUCGUAGGCGGUCUGUCGCGUCUGCUGUGAAAACUCAGGGCUUAACCCUGAGCUUGCAGUGGGUACGGGCAGACUAGAGUGCGGUAGGGGAGACUGGAAUUCCGUGGUGUAGCGGUGAAAUGCGCAGAUAUCAGGAGGAACACCGGUGGCGAAGGCGGGUCUCUGGGCCGUAACUGGACGCUGGAGGAGCGAAAGCAUGGGGAGCGAACAGG